GGCUGCAAGUAGGUUAAGUUGGACCAAAGAUUCACAUAACUGAAUCCAAUCCAUAUUUAAAUGGAUGAAAAAUUUGAAACUAAAGUAAUAAGAUUCCCUUAAUUAGUUGGAUUGAAUCCUAUUAAUUUCAUUAAUCUAUCAGAUCCCACUGAGGUGGCAUCCAAACGGAACGGGCCUUUAUUUUCAAUGAAGUGAUCCGGAUUCGAAUCUCGGUAGAUAUCGGACUGUGAUUGAAUAUGAGGACAUGAAUGGCUGCGAAUGAAGC
rnacentral:lncRNA from 1 species